rnacentral:lncRNA from 1 species
AAGGUUCUGGAAAAGCCAAAUGCAGAUUGAGUAUUCCUUGAGGAUUAGCAUUUUGGAAUUUUAAAGUGCUAUAUUGAUAAGCAGAAAUAAGUCAGAGGAGGGAGAACCCUAUAAGACCAUGAGCUAUUUUUGUAUUGCUAGUGCAAUCUAAGUCUGCAUUGGUGAUUGUAUGCAGUCAAUCCCGGUGCUUCGUGUGGAGUUAAAUAAGAAAUGAGCUGUUAGCCAAGCCAGCUCUGGGAGUGAGGGGGUGGCCUCUUAGGGAGGAGCCGCUCACCCUGACCCAGGAAAUCCUGAACCAGAUUGGCAAAGAAAUUUAUCUAUUUACCUUUGCUUUAACCCCUUAGCUUUCGAGAAUCUCAUUACCUGGGAGAGGGAGGGUGUUCCUCAGGGGAUGGAGGACAUUGGGAAUGGGUAGGAUGAUUCUUCUUUCAGAGAGAGUUUGGUUAUAAGCAGCUGGAAUAAGGCCUGUAAGAGAAGACUCUUAGAUUUAGUCUUUCACAUCCAGGCUUUUCCUAAAAUCCCUGACUGAGGAGAGCUGACAUAUAUACAUGCACUCCAAGUAUUGGCCAAGGUCCCCCCAUAUAAUUAUAUACAGGAAUACCAAGUACCGAUGCUGAAAAUGCCUUCCUGGAGUUGCUCCGAAGUAAACUCUUGACAGCAUAUCAACAGGGUGGAGUGAGGC